UGAGGCGCGCUGCAAAGUUAGGGCAGGACGGAGGGAGGCUCCUGGAGCGGGGACCGCGGAGCGGCGAGCCCAGGGCGGGGCAGGCACAGGCCGGUGGCACAGGACUGGGUGGGACCGGGAGGACUCCGGACGCGCAGCUGGAGACGGAGCUUUUUGACAAAUGGAGCAAGAAUACAGAGAAACUAACCAAAAAAAAAAAAAGAAGAAGAAUACAGAGAAACUAGAGUGGCCCGUCAUGCUACAAGUCAGGUUUCAGAUUCCUCUGCCGAAAUAAAGGCUAUCCGGGAAUCCAGGAGGACUUCAGCCCUCCUGCUGGUACUCCAUCACCUUUCAGAGGUACCAGACACCAACAACGAGGUCCUGCAGAUUCGCUGGCAAAGCUGAGUGAGUCCUAGGACUCAUCAUCACGGGGAUACCCCAGCUUCCCCAGAAGUUUUGCUCCCCCUCCCAACCCAGGAGUUUCCCUGAUGUGUACGCACAGUGUGUGUGAUGAAUCUUGGGCUCCGUUGCCAAGCGACAUGCCUCUGUUUUGGCCUAGUAUGCUUGUUUCCAUAGCAACCACAGAGGGCGCUCUAUGGGCAGGCCCCAGGCCAGGGGAUUCCCCUUCCCCUCCCUCCUCACCACAGUCCCCUCCUCUAAAAUCCGUGUAUUACAGGGAAGAUGAGACGCGACUGCUCAGAGAGUAUUCAUGGCUUUUAAACUAUGAUCCCAGAAAGGAAGUGAAAUGUGCAAUCUGCAGUCUCUUUGAAAGUAGACUCCCCACCCCUCCCAUGAGGGCCCUCUGACAUAUCUGCCUUAGAAGCAGAGAAAUGACUCUUACCUCUUCUUUGAGCUACCUGGAAUCUCCCAGGCCCCACCCCCACCCAUACACACAUUACCCAGAGAUGAGCCUCUCCCCAAACAUCAGGCCCAUCCAUGUUCACUUUCAUUGCUUCCUAAUCUGUCUUCCCCGGUGAACAGCAAACCUCUCGGAGUGAUUCUGGAAUCCAGAUAUUAUUUCCUAAGCAACUCUGAGACCCCAGACUCUUCACUCAAACUCAGAACGUGAAGCCAAGUGUUCCAGCCCAGUUUAAAUUCCAGCCUGUAUAAAACCUUGGGCUUCAAUAAGGAGUUCCUGAAUCACUCAGAUCAGAUCAGACAAGAGCGAAUACAGGAAACCCGCCCAUUACACUCGGUCCUAAUUGAAAUCUUCAGGCCAAAGCAGAACCCAAGUUAAAACUGAUUAGAGAAUGAGAGACGACACGUGGGGCUCUGAGCACAGAUUCUGGGAGGAAACAUGGUUCAAAAGAGCAUCCAGACGAGAGAGUGGGGACAAAGCGGGCAAGGGGUAAAGGGAGACCAGCCUGGGCUUCUCUCCCUCUUCUGCUUGCAACUUCCCAAGUCCAGGCUGAGAUCAGGCUGAGCAGUAAAGGAAGGGCCUAGGCUGCCCAGAGCCUGAGUCACCACAUAGCUGAGGUUCCUGACGCUCGAAGUCCCGCCUCUGCUCGCCCUGUGCCCUCUGCUCGCCCCAGGACUUGGAGUGCUGGAGUGCCGGGCUUGACCUGCCCUGGGACCUGCUCCACUUCUGUGCCUCUUACCAGCCAGGGCUGCUAGCAGCCUUGGAUACCACCCUCUACCUCCAAAACCGAGUGUGCUUGGUCAAUCCUAGUGGCCCAGCAGUCUGAGGGAAGCGCCCCUUCCUGCUCUUAGGAACAAAAGUGACUCAGUGAGUGGCUUUGAGAACUGUGGAAAGACUAGCAUGCACCCUUGAUAAGUCACUUCCCCUCUCUGGGCUGGUUUCCUCCUGGGUAAAAUAAAGCGACUACCUAAUGUGGUCUCCCCGGCUUUCCUGCAUAAGGUACAUUCUGUCAGUCUGAGUUCAAGACAUAGAAUGUUCGCAUUGGGAGGGUGGGUUAAAGGAGUGUGUCUGCUAACCCCUGUCCUAACAGGAGUGGGUGGGGUAGGGCACAGGCUCUUCCACAAUAGGGCAGCCAACACCCUUGGCAAGUGGGUGAUUCAGGCCCCACAGAGAAUGGGACUGACAGGGCAUGCUCCCCUGUGACUCAAGGGAAAUGGAGAUCUCCCUGAAGAAUGACUGGCCAGGGUCCCGCUAUAACCAGCUGGUCUCCCCUGCACCUAGAAAGUUUCCUGUCGCAUUGCGGCCCCCACUGCCUCUGAUGGGCACCCUAAGCUCAUUGUCAUACUGCCUCCCUGGCCUACUCAGUUGCCUCCACCCCUCCUACUGGCCCUGGCAACCCCUCUUCCCUGGGCCUUCAACGACAUAGCCCUUCUUGCCCUGUCGUGUCCCCUCAUUUACCCUUUGGCUCUGCCCAUCCUCACUAUCCACCCCCAUCCCUGCGGAGCCAGCCAGAUGAUUGCAAAAGGGCUGAGCCAGCGAGAGAGGCCCUCACAUGACAGCUGUUCCUGCUGGGGAGGGGAGGGGGCCGCUGGAAGUGGAGGGAAGCACAUUCCAUGGGAGAUUCGAUCAGAAAUAGCCCCAAACCCUGACCAUCCAGCCCCUGCUCUGCACAUGGCCAGCCCAUUGUGUAAACAAGGUAGGGUCAGCAGGCUCCCUUUGGAAUCCUGAGGAAAUGAGGAAAACAGGGGGCAGGGAGUGGUUCCCUCCCAAAAGGGAGGGGGCUACAAGGAUGACAAGAGCCCAGGAACAUCUAGAGACCCAGGGUCACCAAGACAACCUUUGCCACUUAAGCAGUCCCACCUGCCCAGGGUACUCUGCCUCUUGGGAGACAUUCGAAUGAAUACAAUGCAGCACCCAGCAGCCACUUUACCACCAUUGCACCCAUCCCUUGGGUGCUGGAGCACCGGGACACCCCAGUAAUUCCACUGGAGUAAAACGACAGCCUCCUCCGGGAGCUAUGCCAGCCUGAUUAGAGCAAACAGACAGGAGCAGGUGGCUGUUUCUCUAACCUUUCAGGAGCACUGAUAUUUUAGCUCCACACCAUGAGGGGAGGUGUGGAGGAGGUGGGGACCCCAGAAUUGCACCCAAACACACAGAGGACCAAAGUCAGUUGGGGAAGUUAGCCUGUACUGUAGGCACAGCUGGUAGGGUGAGCCAGGGAAGCCACAGUCACCCAGGAAAACCCAUCUGAUGAGGAGGGAAAGUUCUGGGUCCCAAGGACAAAGAGUGCUGGUUGCCAUGAAAACCACAGUAUUGAUUUCAGAAAUGGCUGGGUGGAUCCUCCAAAACACUUCAUUCCUCUCCCUUCAACAUUCUAGACCCUUCCCCCACCUUUGAAAAGAGGAAGUGGCACAUUUGGGGCAUGUGGGCAGCUGGUGGGAUGGGCCCGACCCAGUGUGCAGAGCAGCUGUCCAACUCCAGCUCAAACAGGACAUGAAAAAAACAUGACAAUCUACGUCUUUAUUGGAAGAACUUUAAAGGCUUGAGUUUUUAAUAAGUGAUUUAAGCAGAAGCACCAACAAAGCUAUAAUAAAUAGCUGCUUAUAACCAGUAUCUACCAGUUUCUAUACAGGCUGAACCAAGUCUCAGGCGUUCCCAUUCACACGCUGGGUUUGGCAAAGAUUUCAUCUGCAGUGAUGACACCAUGGAGCUAGAGAGUAUCAUGCUGAGGGAAAUAAACCAUUCAGAGAAAGGCAAAUACCGUAUGAUUUCACUCAUAUAUGAAAUUUAAGAAACCAAAUGAACAAAGGAAAAAAAAUGAACAAAAAAAAAAUGAACAAACAAAAACAAAAAAAAGAGACCAAGAAACAGACUUUUAAUUGUGGAGAACCAAUGGUCACCAGAGGGCAAAGGAGGGGAAUGGGGGAAACAGGUAUGAUGGGGAUCAAGGAGGACACCUGUCUUCAUGAGCACCAGCUGAUGUAGGGAAGUGUGGAAUCGCUAUAUUGUCCACUGGAAACUAACAUUACCCUGUAUCUUAACUCUGCUGAAUUAAAGAGUUCAUCUGCAGUCAAACGCACCUGAAUCCAGACCCCUCUCCUCUCUCCAUC